UAUAAUCUUAGUUUAUUAAAACAAUGGCUUGUGGUGCCAUAAAUCUAAAAAUUUUCUUUCAAGGAGUAAUAAUAU
rnacentral:tRNA from 1 species